AUUGAACGCUGGCGGCAUGCCUUACACAUGCAAGUCGAACGGUAACAGGUCUUCGGAUGCUGACGAGUGGUGAACGGGUGAGUAAUACAUCGGAACGUGCCCGAUCGUGGGGGAUAACGAAGCGAAAGCUUUGCUAAUACCGCAUAAGAUCUACGGAUGAAAGCAGGGGACCGCAAGGCCUUGCGCGAACGGAGCGGCCGAUGGCAGAUUAGGUAGUUGGUGGGAUAAAAGCUUACCUAGCCGACGAUCUGUAGCUGGUCUGAGAGGACGACCAGCCACACUGGGACUGAGACACGGCCCAGACUCCUACGGGAGGCAGCAGUGGGGAAUUUUGGACAAUGGGCGAAAGCCUGAUCCAGCCAUGCCGCGUGCAGGAUGAAGGCCUUCGGGUUGUAAACUGCUUUUGUACGGAACGAAAAGACUCUUUCUAAUAAAGAGGGUCCAUGACGGUACCGUAAGAAUAAGCACCGGCUAACUACGUGCCAGCCGCCGCCGUAA
rnacentral:rRNA from 1 species